AUGAGAGGAGGAAAUGCCGAAGCACAAACACCACUCUGGACACGACCACAGUGCACAGAGCACGAGCACAGGCGUGCCAGUUGCGUGGUCACCACGGUGCCCGGCAAGGAGAGGACAGGUAAGGCUGAAAGGAUUUGUCAAGUGACUAGUCCCUGCAUAAUAGAGUCUGAGGGAGUUGAUGUAUCUACCAAAGGAGCUAAGGAGAGGAGUGUGGCAUCGCUGAAAGUUUGUUGCAUCAAACUUAGGCGUGCACUGCUGAUCAACAGGUACUUGAUUGGGUCAAAUGGAGUUGUCUGGAAGGUUUAG
rnacentral:rRNA from 1 species